CAAUUUCACAAAAUAUCUGCUGCCUGAAGUGCAAAGCUGAGGGACCAAAGAAGUCUGGAGGAAGUGAUAUUGAAAUGAAGAAAGGUGAUUGGAAUUGUCCAAAGACUAUGUUGCCACUCGAUGGUGUCGUGCUCCAGAACUCUGUGGGUCAAUUUUUCUCAAAAUACACUCCUGCAAUAGAUAUUUGGAGCAUAGGAUGUAUUUGCUGAAAUGCUUACAGGAAAACCACUGUUACGUUGGGAAAAUGUGAUACACCAAUUGCAUCUCAUGACUGAUUUGCUUGGUACACCACCCUCCCCAGCCGAAUCCACUGGAAGGAUUCGUUUUUAUUCUUUCUAUCCAUGCUAGUUACUCAUCCAUAGCAAAGAUAAUCAAG